UACGUAGGGACCAAGCGUUGUCCGGAAUCAUUGGGCGUAAAGCGCGCGUAGGUGGCCAUUUAAGUCCGCUGUGAAAGUCAGAGGCUCAACCUUUGAAAGCCGGUGGAUACUGGAUGGCUAGAGUACGGAAGAGGAGAGUGGAAUUCCUGGUGUAGCGGUGGAAUGCGCAGAUAUCAGGAGGAACACCAAUAGCGAAGGCAGCUCGCUGGGACGUUACUGACACUAAGGCGCGAAAGCGUGGGGAGCGAACAGG
rnacentral:rRNA from 1 species